UCUUUUUUUCAUUCUCUUACUUUUUCGUAAAAACCCUAAAACCAGCCCAGAUAUCAAUAACCUGAAAUCAAACAAAAAAUCAAAAUCCUAAAAUCCUAAUUGAUUCUCCUAAUUUUCAUCUCUUCGUACGAUAGUUGAACCAACUGGAAUGGGGUGAACCAACUGGAAGAUCAUCCAUUAUAUUUGAUUAAAGUUCAUCAGCUUGGACAUCAUUCACUCAUUCAAGCAUAAGUUGACUUGUACAUUGACCUUUGGUUCUGCUUCUUAAUUCAAAAUUUGAAACCAGAAAAUGGAUCGUACUUGGAUGUAUAAUAGAGCAUAUUCUGAUAGACACGGAUUGAAAGAAGAGUUUGUUCGUGGGGUUAAAAAUUUUGUGAAGAGGGCUUUAAAACAAUCCAUUUGUAAAUCAGAGGGAGGGAUAAGGUGUCCAUGCAUAAAUUGCAAGUGUGGCAAGAUAAGUACAGCAACUAAUGUAAGACUACACCUGUAUCGAGAUGGAUUUCAACCAAACUAUUGGAUUUGGACUCAACAUGGAGAAGUGGAGGUCAAUAUUGAUACAGGGGAUGGUUUAAAUAGUAGUGAGCAUGUGCGUCAUGCUGACCAGUUUGAGGCAAUGGAUCAGAUGGUGUAUGAUGCUUUUAGGCCUCAUGGAGGUUUCUCUCACGCGAAUGAUAACAUGCAACAAGAGGAAUUUUCGGAGGAUGAGU